rnacentral:tRNA from 1 species
AAGUAGUGAAGUAAAAGUUACAUUUAGUUUCGACCUAAAAUUAGAGAUAAAACUCCUUACUUA